GUCCCCGUAGUUCAGUGGAUAGAAUGUGAGCUUCCGGAGCUCAAGGCGUAGGUUCGAUUCCUACCGGGGACA
rnacentral:tRNA from 1 species